AGGACGAACGCUGGCGGCGUGCUUAACACAUGCAAGUCGAGCGAGGCCCUUCCUUCGGGAAGGUGUCCUAGCGGCGAACGGGUGAGUAACACGUGGGCAACCUGCCCUCAGCUCUGGGAUAACUCCGGGAAACCGGGGCUAAUACCGGAUACGACCUCUAAGGGCAUCCGAAGAGGUGGAAAGUUUUUCGGCUGAGGAUGGGCCCGCGGCCUAUCAGCUUGUUGGUGGGGUGACGGCCUACCAAGGCGACGACGGGUAGCCGGCCUGAGAGGGUGACCGGCCACACUGGGACUGAGACACGGCCCAGACUCCUACGGGAGGCAGCAGUGGGGAAUAUUGCGCAAUGGGCGAAAGCCUGACGCAGCGACGCCGCGUGAGGGACGAAGGCCUUCGGGUUGUAAACCUCUUUCAGCAGGGACGAAGCGAAAGUGACGGUACCUGCAGAAGAAGCACCGGCCAACUACGUGCCAGCAGCCGC
rnacentral:rRNA from 1 species